AAUUACUGAGUACUGAGUUAGAAGGAGAAAAAAUGUCUUCGAGUCUACCUCUCCUCAAUAAAGAGGUCUGAGUAGAGGCAACUUACAAAGGCCUCAGCCAAAGGCCACAAAUAAAGAGGCCUCCACCUGAGGACACUGGGGUCAAGAACACAGCUGUAUAAGUUUAAGAGCUUGGCCCACCAGUUGCAGUUGCCUGAAACUCCCUUCAGAAACUGUAAUUCAUUCUGUCCGCACCAAGUCAGCUGUGACAAAGCCAGCUCUCCCUGAGGCCUGCCAGGACGAUUAGCCCUGAGCUAACUACUGCCAGUCCUCCUCUUUUUUGCUGAGGAAGCCUGGCCCUGAGCUAACAUCUGUGCCCAUCUGCCUCCACUUUAUAUGUGGGAUGCCUACCACAGCAUGGUGUGCCAAGCGCUGCCAUGUCCGCACCCAGGAUCCGAACAGAGUGUUAAAGAUCGAAAUUUCUCUAACUGGUGUCACUUGUAGCAGGGGCCAAUGUUAACUGUGAAGAUGGCUGGUAUUAUUUAUAACAAGGAGAGCCUGGCAGCAGACUUUGACCUUUCAAAUAUCGUUCCAUUUUCUGCAGGCCUUAAUUAUUUCUGAUAAGGGCAAUGGUGAAGGCAUGCAUAUCCCAACUGACCUCUUGGAUUACAUCUUGAUAAAAAGUAACAGUGUUUUACCACCACACUUCAUGCCACAGGUAAUUUCCUUUGGAUCCUUAGAGAGUCCAGCAAUUUUAUAUUUUUCACUUGAGGGAGCCACUUCUGGUAUUAAAACAAAACAAAAAUAAAACACCAACCAAAAAAGUCAAUGCCUUAUUUGUCAAAGUUACAUCCAUCCAAAGACUUGCUCUGGUCAAACCUAGAACAGCUGUAAAAUCUAAAUGAAGAGUUAGAGUUAAAUAUUUCCUAAUGACAUGCUUUUCGAUACUGUCUGUUCAUUUGCUGCAUUUGGUAAUGUGCCGCUGAAUAUGUAAAAACAAGUUAGUUUCACUGUAUUACUCUGAAAAGAUGCCAUGUGUUGGUAAAUAUCAUAGAAACUUGCUUGUAUUGGCUUCCAGAAAUAUAUUAAAGAAAUAAAAACAUUUAAUCUGUGAAUGAAUUUUAAAUGUAUCUCAUUGCUGGUCAUAUUCUGUUUUAUUUUGGUUUGUUAAUGUAUAAAGUAUUGAAACCAAGGAGGUUUACUUUGAAGCAUUGUGAAAUAUAUGACAUUAUUUAUGACAGAAAAAUAAUCAUUGCCAUCACUGUUGCACAAUUGUGCUUCCGUGCCCUUCAGAGGCUCUUAUAAUGCUCCCUUCCUGGCUACUAUUGGGGGAAGAAUCCUUUAAGCUC
rnacentral:lncRNA from 1 species